AAGAGUCCCUCCCGACUGUUUACCAAAAACACAGCACUUUGCCAACUCGUAAGAGGAAGUAUAAGGUGUGACGCCUGCCCGGUGCUCGAAGGUUAAGAGGAUGCGUCAGUCGCAAGAUGAAGCGUUGAAUUGAAGCCCGAGUAAACGGCGGCCGUAACUAUAACGGUCCUAAGGUAGCGAAAUUCCUUGUCGGUUAAAUACCGACCUGCAUGAAUGGCGUAACGAGAUGGGAGCUGUCUCAACCAGAGAUUCAGUGAAAUUGUAGUGGAGGUGAAAAUUCCUCCUACCCGCGGCAAGACGGAAAGACCCCGUGGACCUUUACUACAACUUAGCACUGCUAAUGGGAAUAUCAUGCGCAGGAUAGGUGGGAGGCUUUGAAGUAAGGGCUUUGGCUCUUAUGGAGCCAUCCUUGAGAUACCACC
rnacentral:rRNA from 1 species